UAAAUCGAAGCAUGUUUAAUCAUAUUGUUUGAAAAUAAAUUUGGGGACGGGAAUCGAAAAAAUUGAUAAAAGUAAAUAUUUGAUAUUCUUACAUUGUUGAUGUUGAAUGCGGUAUGUUUUCGAGCGGGUAGGCAAAUAGCAAGCUCGGGUAGGCAAAUUUUAAAAUUUGUUAGUUUGGUUGAAUGUUGGAAUGUGCGUGUGAAUGUCUCUUUCUAGAUUAUCGUGUUUAAUUCAGAUGUAUUUAUUUAGCCGGGGAAUGCCCCG
rnacentral:lncRNA from 1 species